rnacentral:lncRNA from 1 species
GUGAAGGGCCAGCACGACGAUGUCAGCAUGUCAGCAGUGGUUACAUGAAUACUUCAGCUUAUGUUACCACCGGAUUUGUGGGGAGAAGGGUGGCACUUCCCAGAGGAAACAAAGUCCUGGACUGAAAGGCAGUGAACACGAUCUUUGGGACGUAAACUCUUUCAAAAUAGAUCCUUCUUUUGCGAUCUUGCAUGCAUCCAUUUGUGGUUGACAGGGUGAUGAUGCAGCCCUCUUUGAGGUCACUGGAAGCCAAAUUUUGUUGUAUUGUGGUAAAGGCUUUCACUGGAUAAGAUGGCAUAGUAAGU